rnacentral:rRNA from 1 species
CUACGGGAGGCUCCAGUGGGGAAUAUUGGACAAUGGGGGAAACCCUGAUCCAGCAAUGCCGCGUGUGUGAAGAAGGCCUGCGGGUUGUAAAGCACUUUCGGUUGGGAGGACUGCUUCUAGCACUAAUAUUGUUGGAAGUUGACGUUACCUUCAGAAGAAGCACCGGGUAACUCCGUGCCAGCAGCCGCGGUAAUAGCGGAGGGUGCAAGCGUUAAUCGGAAUUACUGGGCGUAAAGCGCGCGUAGGCGGCUAGAUCAGUCGGGUGUGAAAGCCCCGGGCUUAACCUGGGAACUGCAUCCGAUACUGUCUAGCUUGAGUACAGGAGAGGAGAGUGGAAUUCCACAUGUAGCGGUGAAAUGCGUAGAUAUGUGGAGGAACACCAAUGGCGAGGGCAGCUCUCUGGCCUGAUACUGACGCUGAGGUGCGAAAGCGUGGGGAGCAAACAGGAUUAGAUACCCUAGUAGUC